UCCUAAUUUGGCCAUCAUGAAUUGAAGGAAAAGCAUCUCAUUUCCAUGACAAAAUCUUUCCUACAAUAAAAAUUGAUGUAGAACCAGACUCAAUUUCCCAGUCUUGCUCCCAGGUGAUGGCGGAGAUACAAGAUUGAAGGAACCUGGGUCCCGAGUCAUUGCUUGGAAAGAGCCAUACAGCAGGGCCACCUGUCCAGGAGCACUUACAUUGUGUUAUUUCACAAAUGAAAAAUGAACACUGGAGUGCUGGGGCUGAUUGUCACAGCAGUUAGCCUCCUCUGAAGAACACAGCUGGAUUUCACACUCCCUCUAGCUAUAGAGCUCAUUCACAUUUGCUUCCUAAUUGAUGCUUUGAAUGAGAACAAGUCUGUACUGUCUGUCCUACUGGAGAUUGAGAGACCCAUGGAACAGAGCUCAAACAUGAGGCCAUCCUAGACCAGCCAGCCCAUUGCUAACCUGACAGCUCUCUGUAAGUCAUGAGCAGCUCAGGUGAGAUCAGCAGAGCCUGGCCCAGAUGAGCAGAACCGUGCAUCAUACCCCAGGCCAAUGAGAAAUAUUAAAUGGUUAAGCCACUAA